AAGUAUUUCAAAAUUAAAUCUGCAGGGCCAUGGGGACAACUCAAUCAGGAAAUUGUCAUGCAAGAAUGGGGACCUGAGUUAAGAACCUCACACCAGAGAAGACAAGAGGAUCCUUAGUUUGUUGGCCAGCCAGUCUAGCUGAAACCGGCCAUCAUGACAUCAGAGGAUGGAGAGAAGCAUAUGCCAGCAGGAUGACACACAGCUGAAAGAACAAAGGAACGAGUUGGCAGGAGUCAACAAAGCAAGCAAGCUUCAUGAUGCCGAGCCUCUCCCAGAGCCAGGCUCAGCAUCACUGUGAUGUCCAGACUGUGACAACCCUGGAUAGCGGUUAACUGCAAGCCAAACACUCUUUACAAUGGGACAAUCAGGUCAAGUCCAAGAGUUCUGACAACCAAACAUCCUCCUUCUCAGGGACACUAAGUCCUCCUAAACCCCAAAUGACAACCCUUGCAGAAGGUACCAGUUGGCGCAGGAAGUUCACUUGUGUCACAAGUGGAAAAACAGACAAGAAAGGGAAUGAUCCUCAAAGAGUUCGUGCCCCAAGUAAACAUGAAUGAAGAGACAAGCCAGGGAAACAGAUGGCUCGCACACACACACACACAACAUCACACAACUGUGUCUUCAUCCACUAGUCCAGUCCAACCUAUAUCUGGCUUUUAUUUGCUCCUGGAGACCUGAAAAAAAUCAGAAUCCAAAGAUUAAACCCCCAAGAUACUGACAAA